rnacentral:rRNA from 1 species
UACGAAGGUCCCAAGCGUUGUUCGGAAUCACUGGGCGUAAAGGGAGCGUAGGCGGCGCGGUAAGUCAGAUGUGAAAUCCCGGGGCUCAACCCCGGAACUGCAUCCGAUACUGCCGUGCUUGAGGGUUGGAGAGGUAGCUGGAAUUCUCGGUGUAGCAGUGAAAUGCGUGGAUAUCGAGAGGAACACUCGUGGCGAAGGCGAGCUACUGGACAACAUCUGACGCUGAGGCUCGAAGGCCAGGGGAGCUAAAGGG